rnacentral:rRNA from 1 species
CAGUCGCCACGGGAACACAGAGGAUGCAAGCGUUAUCCGGAAUGAUUGGGCGUAAAGGGCUCGCAGGCGGUUUCUUAAGUCUGAUGUGAAAGCCCCCGGCUCAACCGGGGAGGGUCAUUGGAAACUGGGAAACUUGAGUGCAGAAGAGGAGAGUGGAAUUCCACGUGUAGCGGUGAAAUGCGUAGAGGUGUGGAGGAACACCAGUGGCGAAGGCGACUCUCUGGUCUGUAACUGACGCUGAGGAGCGAAAGCGUGGGGAGCGAACAGGAUUAGAUACCCCUGUAGUCCCUGUCUCUUAUAA